rnacentral:misc_RNA from 1 species
GAUGAAGAACGUAGUGAAAUGCGAUAAGUAAUGUGAAUUGCAGAAUUCAGUGAAUCAUCGAAUCUUUGAACGCACAUUGCGCCCGCCAGUAUUCUGGCGGGCAUGCCUGUUCGAGCGUCAUUUCAACCCUCAAGCCCCCGGGCUUGGUGUUGGGGAUCGGCGUGCCCUCGCGGCGCGCCGUCCCCUAAAUCUAGUGGCGGUCUCGCUGUAGCUUCCUCUGCGUAGUAGCAACACUCGCACUGGAUCGCAGCGCGGCCACGCCGUUAAACCCCCCACUUCUGAAAGUUUGACCUCGGAUCAGGUAGGAAUACCCGCUGAACUUAAGCAUAUCAAUAGCGGAGGA